UACGAAGGGUGCAAACGUUGCUCGGAAUCAUUGGGCGUAAAGCGCACGUAGGCGGCCUCAUAAGUCGGAUGUGAAAUCCCUCGGCUCAACCGAGGAAGUGCAUCCGAAACUGCGAGGCUCGAGUAUGGAAGAGGGUCGCAGAAUUCCCGGUGUAGAGGUGAAAUGCGCAGAUAUCAGGAGGAACACCGAUUGCGAAGGCAGCUCGCUGGGACGUUACUGACGCUGAGACGCGAAAGCGUGGGGAGCAAACAGG
rnacentral:rRNA from 1 species